GGAGAGAGGAAGUGCACAUGCAGGUCGAUGCCGCCGGCCGUGCAGAUCAGGCCCUCGCCGGAGAUGGCUUCGGUCGAGGCGCCGACGACGAAAUCGACGUUGUCCAUGCUGUCCGGAUUGCCGCCCUUGCCGAUUGCGAGGAUCUUGCCGUCGCGCAGGCCGAUAUCUGCCUUGUAGAUGCCGGUAUAGUCGAUGAUCAGGACGCCGGAGAUGAUCGUGUCGGCAACUGCUGGAUCGGAUGCGCGAGUUGCGGUCGCGCUCACGCCCAUGCCGUCACG
rnacentral:sRNA from 1 species